rnacentral:rRNA from 1 species
UACGGAGGAUGCAAGCGUUACCCGGAAUGAUUGGGCGUAAAGCGUCCGCAGGUGGCUAUGUAAGUCUGCUGUUAAAGAGCAAGGCUCAACCUUGUAAAGGCAGUGGAAACUACAUGGCUAGAGUGCGUUCGGGGCAGAGGGAAUUCCUGGUGUAGCGGUGAAAUGCGUAGAGAUCAGGAAGAACACCGGUGGCGAAAGCGCUCUGCUAGGCCGCAACUGACACUGAGGGACGAAAGCUAGGGGAGCGAAUGGG